rnacentral:tRNA from 1 species
UUCCUGGUGGCUCAGAUGGUAAAGCGUCUGCCUGCAGUGCGGGAGACCCAGGUUCAAUCCCUGGGUUGGGAA